CAGUGAUAAUGAAAACAGCUCUGGCACCAAUCACGCCACCAGCAGUGCUGUUAUGAGACCUAGAGUAAUGAAAGGAAGUGAUGGCAACCGUGGCAAUAGUGGUCUUGAUGAAGACUACUCUUCAUAUUUAUCACUUGUGGCUACCUUUCCUGACGAUUCUUCAGAUGAUGAAGAUUUAAACCAGGCAAUAAUUGCCAGUAUGGACGGUCAAAUGUGAGUAGCACACACAGGAUGUGAGCUUGCCUUUUCAUUUUAAGAUUAUUGUGACAUACACAUUUUGGAUUAAUUGGUUGCUUAUGACCAAAGAUUUCACAAAAUACUGGUCACAUUAUUGUGUUUCUGAUCAUUAUUAUUUUUGGUGUUGUCUUUAUAGUGCAGAAAAGGUCCCGGUUGAAGAGAUACUGCUGGAACUGUCAAACAAUGUUAGCUCAAAACAGCGGUGCAAUUUAAUAUAAAUCGAACCGCAAUCUGGGAGGGAGCCAUACGGGGCUUCCAAAGGGUAUCUUAUGACCCCAACUUGAUGAUCUUUGUAAAAUUCUCAGAUGACAUGGGGAAAUUUGAGGAAGUGGGUUGAUUUAGGAGGGCCAAGGAGGGAAUUCUUCAUGCUGCUCAUGGAGACCAUUACCAGGUCACGUAUGUUUGAGGGAAAAGAAAACAGCAAGAACUUGGCUCUUGACAGUACUGCUCUAAGAGAGGACUGGUACUACACAGCUGGCAGAGCCAUUACAGUAAACUUGGUACAUGGCGGUCCACCACCAAACUUCCUCUGACCAACCCUUUUUUCUCAGCUGGUUGAUGGUUCAGCAAAUCCUGUCCUAGAAGACAUAGCUGACACGGAACUCUUGGAAAAAGCCAAAAGUCAGUUGGUAGUUAGAUCUUAAAUGUUACAUUGUAUUAGAAUUAGGUUACAUUACAAUGUUCUCUUAGUAUUUUGUAUGUUGAGAGGGAGUAUCGGUCCAGUCUAGGGUGCCCAUUGUUGAAUUACCUUGAAAUGCCCAUCCCUACUUCAUUCAACAUCUUAAUAAUAACUUGUGACCAUUAAGUAUCCUCCAUAACAAGCCAUUCUGCUGCUCCUUUGAUGCUAGGUAUCUGAAAGUACAACCCUUGAGGACCUUGAGAAGUCUAUGGCACCUCUGCUUGACUACUUGGCCAAUGCAGGAUGUCUGAGGCCAAUGCAGUCAAUAAGAGACAGGGAUCUGCUGGUAGAUGAAAUUGUCAUGUUUUAGGUCAUCCAUAGGUGCAAGGUACAUUUCAAAGGCAGGCAGUGCUGAUUCUUUACAGUCAGGUUAAUCAGAAAAGGCUUCCGAAUUUUACCUGUGUGUGUGUGUGUGUGUGUGUGCGUGUGAGCAUGUGCAUGCGUGCGCUUGAACCACAACAACAUGGCAUUUAUAUGUGAGAAGAUGACAUAACGUUGAAUACACUGUGGUUAAUACACGGAUGUGGUCAAUGCAUGGUUUUGCCUUAGAAAACUACAUAAGAUAGUGUCAUGCGGUUUAUAUAUAGUGCGGUUAAUAGUCAGGAAAUUACGGAAGUAACCCUGAUUUAAAUUCUGCUAAAUGAAUAUAAUUGUUCCAUGUUCUUUGCACAGAUUCUGUGAAGGCCUCAAAACAAUUGGGGUUCUGGAGAAAAUAAGAAGGCAUCCACACAGCUUUCGUCCCCUGUUCUGCUUUCAGCCAAGCAUACUUGACGGCUGACCAGGUGGAAGAUCUUUUUAACAUUCAUCUGUCUCUGGAAGUUGAGUAACAGAACUGCUGAGGAGACAGUUGUCACCUACUGGAGAGACAAUCUCCAGGAUUCAGAAGGUAAUUGACAGUUUACUGUGCAUCUAUCUUUUCUUU